GGCGAACGCUGGCGGCGUGCUUAACACAUGCAAGUCGAACGGAAAGACCCUGCUUUUGUGGGGUGCUCGAGUGGCGAACGGGUGAGUAACGCGUGAGUAACCUGCCCUUGACUUUGGGAUAACUUCAGGAAACUGGGGCUAAUACCGGAUAGGAGCUCCUGCUGCAUGGUGGGGGUUGGAAAGUUUCGGCGGUUGGGGAUGGACUCGCGGCUUAUCAGCUUGUUGGUGGGGUAGUGGCUUACCAAGGCUUUGACGGGUAGCCGGCCUGAGAGGGUGACCGGCCACAUUGGGACUGAGAUACGGCCCAGACUCCUACGGGAGGCAGCAGUGGGGAAUAUUGCACAAUGGGCGGAAGCCUGAUGCAGCAACGCCGCGUGCGGGAUGACGGCCUUCGGGUUGUAAACCGCUUUCGCCUGUGACGAAGCGUGAGUGACGGUAAUGGGUAAAGAAGCACCAGCUAACUACGUG
rnacentral:rRNA from 1 species